CUGAGCAGGACAUGGAGCACGGUGGGGCUGGAGCUGAGACCCAGCUUGCUGACGUUCUGCCCUCCUCUCUCUGCAGGGUCCGCCUGGUCCAAAAGGUGCUAAGGGCUCCUCGGGUCCAACUGGCCCGAAGGGUGAGGCAGGCCACCCAGGACCCCCAGGCCCCCCGGGCCCCCCGGGAGAGGUCAUCCAGCCCCUGCCGAUCCAGGCGUCCAGGACACGGCGGAACAUCGACGCCAGCCAGCUGCUGGAUGAUGGGAAUGGCGAGAACUACGUGGACUAUGCGGAUGGCAUGGAAGAGAUCUUCGGCUCUCUCAACUCCCUGAAACUGGAGAUUGAGCAGAUGAAACGGCCCCUGGGCACGCAGGAGAACCCCGCCCGCACCUGCAAGGACCUGCAGCUCUGCCACCCCGACUUCCCAGAUGGUGAAUACUGGGUCGAUCCUAACCAAGGAUGCUCCAGGGAUUCCUUCAAGGUUUACUGCAACUUCACAGCCGGGGGGUCGACAUGCAUCUUCCCUGACAAGAAGUCCGAAGGGGCCAGAAUCACUUCUUGGCCCAAAGAAAACCCGGGCUCCUGGUUCAGUGAAUUCAAGCGUGGGAAACUGGUAAGGUGGCCUCUGGCGUCUUUGCGGUUGUCACUUUAAACCCGCCCAUCUCGUAUCUUACAGAGUAAAAUGGCCCGCUGGCCCAAAGAGCAGCCUUCCACCUGGUAUAGUCAGUACAAGCGGGGGUCCCUGGUAAGUGGCCACCUCAGCCCAGCCACCUCGGCACUGCCUGCUUGCGGCACGGCUGGCUCGCGGCUCUGCAUGGCACCCAUCGCCGCCAUGUGUGCCACACCGCUCUUGCCAAACUGCUCCACAUCACGUGACAGCAAGACUCAGCUAGGUGUGGAGUCCUCUCCCCAGCCCCCGCCA
rnacentral:sRNA from 1 species